rnacentral:lncRNA from 1 species
CAAGGAGAUUUAUCCCGCGACAAACAGCCCCACCGAGAGCCGCUGAAUGGGCGUGAUUAGCAUGUGAAAAGGCGAGCAAAACUCCGCGGUUCAACAGCUAAAGAGCAAUUUGAUGGGGCUGGGAUGGGGAAAUUACUUGAUUAGCGUCCGUCGGAGGAAAGCACGGUUACAGCCCCUCGCCCCGGAAUCCGACAGGGGAACAAAACGCGCUGUUGAAUUUUGCAUGACGUACUGCUUUAAAAAUAAUGAAAUGCAUGAGAGCUCUCUUCGAAGCCAGCCACUGGAGAAAGAAGCUAGAGUAUUGAACAAUGCAGGACCAUGUGAAAAGAGGAGCUCAGCCAAUACCUAUACCAAGGCCCAGAUAUAAGGGUGAAGCCAUCCUGGACAUGCCAGCCUCAGAAUUCCAGAGCAGCUUGGCUGGACAGUUCUCUCCUGAGACCUCUCACAAGGUUGCAACCAGAUGGCUAGAGCGGCAGCCAUCAGGAGGCUGGACAGUGAUGGAGGAUCCACCUGCACUCCCCCGCAUGGCUGGUUCUGUUCCCAGAGCUGGGCUGAAGAACACCAAAGAAAAAAAUGCCUGUCUUCCUCCCGCAGAAGACUUACGAUUGAGUUUUGGUAAUGAAACCUGGCUUCAAAAUACUCACAAUGCGUUAUUGAAAUAGCUGCAAAGAUUCCAGGUUGAGUACAUCCCCAAAAAGUCCACUGCUGGGGAGAAGCAAUGCCUCCCUCUCAUCUCCACAGGCUGCACUCCAACGUCUGCUCCGAGUGCAAUGGCCCACUUUGGACGGGAUACAGUCUCUCGUGCCUCAGUUUCCCUCUUCCAACAAACACUUGCCAAUGUGAGAAGCACUAGAAGAUAGUGGUUGAGAGUUUGGGCUCUGUGCUGUAUCAUGUGGCUUAUAAUACCACUUCUCCUCUUAGAAGAUGUGUGGCCUUUGUUGGAAAGCUUAACCUUGAUGUGCCCCCA